GUGCUUGCUUCAGCAGCAUAUAUACUAAAAUGGGACAAUAGAGAGAGAUUUGUACAGCCCCUGUGCAAAGAUGACACAAAAAUCUGUGAAGCAUUCUGUUUCUUU